GAACAGAUAAGGAGCUUGCUCCUUUGACGUUAGCGGCGGACGGGUGAGUAACACGUGGGUAACCUACCUAUAAGACUGGGAUAACUUCGGGAAACCGGAGCUAAUACCGGAUAACAUUUGGAACCGCAUGGUUCUAAAGUGAAAGAUGGUUUUGCUAUCACUUAUAGAUGGACCCGCGCCGUAUUAGCUAGUUGGUAAGGUAACGGCUUACCAAGGCGACGAUACGUAGCCGACCUGAGAGGGUGAUCGGCCACACUGGAACUGAGACACGGUCCAGACUCCUACGGGAGGCAGCAGUAGGGAAUCUUCCGCAAUGGGCGAAAGCCUGACGGAGCAACGCCGCGUGAGUGAUGAAGGGUUUCGGCUCGUAAAACUCUGUUAUUAGGGAAGAACAAAUGUGUAAGUAACUGUGCACGUCUUGACGGUACCUAAUCAGAAAGCCACGGCUAACUACGUGCCAGCAGCCGCGGUAAUACGUAGGUGGCAAGCGUUAUCCGGAAUUAUUGGGCGUAAAGCGCGCGUAGGCGGUUUCUUAAGUCUGAUGUGAAAGCCCACGGCUCAACCGUGGAGGGUCAUUGGAAACUGGGAAACUUGAGUGCAGAAGAGGAAAGUGGAAUUCCAUGUGUAGCGGUGAAAUGCGCAGAGAUAUGGAGGAACACCAGUGGCGAAGGCGACUUUCUGGUCUGUAACUGACGCUGAUGUGCGAAAGCGUGGGGAUCAAACAGGAUUAGAUACCCUGGUAGUCCACGCCGUAAACGAUGAGUGCUAAGUGUUAGGGGGUUUCCGCCCCUUAGUGCUGCAGCUAACGCAUUAAGCACUCCGCCUGGGGAGUACGACCGCAAGGUUGAAACUCAAAGGAAUUGACGGGGACCCGCACAAGCGGUGGAGCAUGUGGUUUAAUUCGAAGCAACGCGAAGAACCUUACCAAAUCUUGACAUCCUUUGAAAACUCUAGAGAUAGAGCUUUCCCCUUCGGGGGACAAAGUGACAGGUGGUGCAUGGUUGUCGUCAGCUCGUGUCGUGAGAUGUUGGGUUAAGUCCCGCAACGAGCGCAACCCUUAAGCUUAGUUGCCAUCAUUAAGUUGGGCACUCUAGGUUGACUGCCGGUGACAAACCGGAGGAAGGUGGGGAUGACGUCAAAUCAUCAUGCCCCUUAUGAUUUGGGCUACACACGUGCUACAAUGGACAAUACAAAGGGCAGCUAAACCGCGAGGUCAUGCAAAUCCCAUAAAGUUGUUCUCAGUUCGGAUUGUAGUCUGCAACUCGACUACAUGAAGCUGGAAUCGCUAGUAAUCGUAGAUCAGCAUGCUACGGUGAAUACGUUCCCGGGUCUUGUACACACCGCCCGUCACACCACGAGAGUUUGUAACACCCGAAGCCGGUGGAGUAACCAUUUAUGGAGC
rnacentral:rRNA from 1 species